ACAAGCGGUGGAGUAUGUGGUUUAAUUCGAUGCAACGCGAAGAACCUUACCUGGUCUUGACAUCCCGGAGACCCUUAGGAACUAGGGGUGCUUCCAUCUGGAAGAAUCUGGAGACAGGUGCUGCAUGGCUGUCGUCAGCUCGUGUCGUGAGAUGUUGGGUUAAGUCCCGCAACGAGCGCAACCCUUGCCUUUAGUUGCCAGCAGUUCGGCUGGGCACUCUAAAGGGACUGCCGGUGUUAAACCGGAGGAAGUGGGGAUGACGUCAAGUCCUCAUGGCCUUUAUGACCAGGGCUACACACGUACUACAAUGGCCGAUACAAAGGGCAGCGACACUGCGAGGUGAAGCCAAUCCCGUAAAAUCGGUCUCAGUCCGGAUUGGAGUCUGCAACUCGACUCCAUGAAGUUGGAAUCGCUAGUAAUCGUGGAUCAGCAUGCCACGGUGAAUACGUUCCCGGGCCUU
rnacentral:rRNA from 1 species